rnacentral:lncRNA from 1 species
GUAGCAUUUUCAGCAGGAGUUGGGGACCAGCACGGUAUUUCAUCAGAGAUGCUAUUAACAUCUGUUUAUUUGCAGUUCAUGGUUUAAAUCUCAGUGGGAGCUCAUCUGCCAAGCGGAAGGGUUUCAAAUAAGAUCAAGUGAGAAAUAUACUCUGCUCCAUCCCAGGUCAUGGAGGACAUAUUUUCAUUGUGUCUUUGUUAUUUGUCCUCAAGCUAAAGUACAAAGUCAUCUGGGCUGAAAAACACAUGUUGUUUAUUGUGCAUGAGAGAUGGAUAUACUGUGUGUGGGAGGUAGCAUGACCAUUUGCCUUCUCUCUUCAAGACAAUGGUAAUGCCUGCAAUGAGUCCUGCUCUGAAGAGAAAUCACCUUACUGUAACUUCACCUGUACUGCGGGUCAAUCAUUUCUGCUGAGCUGCAGUUGGUUUUUCCACUGAAGAAGAAACAAACAGACAAAGAAACCCUGCUUAUGGGAUUGACUGAUACUGAGCUGGCCAGGUGGCAACUUCAGUUUGACCAGAGUAUUUAACAUUUUGGGAGCUAAAGUUCCCUUUGCUCUGAGUGUAAAGGUCUGAAGUUUUUUCAUUUCCUCUAGAUUAGGACGGAGUAGUGUUGUGGGUUUUUUUGUUAUUUCUAUGCAUUGGGAAGUGGCUGUUCUAAGGUAGCUGAAAUGGAGCUAAGCACUACUGCUAAUAUUUGCCUUUCAGCAGGUUUGACGGUGACCUUCCUUCCCCAGUUCACCCAAAUGAAAUUAGAAGAUGGAAAGGAAAAAGUUUGCAGCUGGGAUAAAUUGAACUAUUUUGGGAGAAAUGUAAUGCCCCCUAAUUUCAGACUUAGCCUUCCUUCUGGCUUGAUGUUGAAUGCUAUCACUACAGAUAGGCUUGUGGGAGACUGGGAAGAUGCUGCCAUGUGGCUCCACUUCAUUAGGCAAGUGUGUCAACACACGUGCACACUUCUUCCUUUCUUUAGGGCAGUGGUGAGAAGUCAUAGUUAUCAAAUGCUGGCUGUCACCUAA